GCUUACACAUGCAAGUCGAACGCUGAAGCCCAUGGUGCUUGCACCGGGGUGGAUGAGUGGCGAACGGGUGAGUAACACGUGAGUAACCUGCCCCCGACUUCGGGAUAAGCCCGGGAAACUGGGUCUAAUACCGGAUAUGACCACCGAAGGCAUCAUUGAUGGUGGAAAGUUUUUUCGGUUGGGGAUGGGCUCGCGGCCUAUCAGUUUGUUGGUGAGGUAAUGGCUCACCAAGACGACGACGGGUAGCCGGCCUGAGAGGGCGACCGGCCACACUGGGACUGAGACACGGCCCAGACUCCUACGGGAGGCAGCAGUGGGGAAUAUUGCACAAUGGGGGAAACCCUGAUGCAGCGACGCAGCGUGCGGGAUGACGGCCUUCGGGUUGUAAACCGCUUUCAGCAGGGAAGAAGCCUUUCGGGGUGACGGUACCUGCAGAAGAAGUACCGGCUAACUACGUGCCAGCAGCCGCGGUAAUACGUAGGGUACAAGCGUUGUCCGGAAUUAUUGGGCGUAAAGAGCUCGUAGGUGGUUGGUCACGUCUGCUGUGGAAACGCAACGCUUAACGUUGCGCGUGCAGUGGGUACGGGCUGACUAGAGUGCAGUAGGGGAGUCUGGAAUUCCUGGUGUAGCGGUGAAAUGCGCAGAUAUCAGGAGGAACACCGGUGGCGAAGGCGGGACUCUGGGCUGUAACUGACACUGAGGAGCGAAAGCAUGGGGAGCGAACAGGAUUAGAUACCCUGGUAGUCCAUGCCGUAAACGUUGGGCACUAGGUGUGGGGGACAUUCCACGUUCUCCGCGCCGUAGCUAACGCAUUAAGUGCCCCGCCUGGGGAGUACGGUCGCAAGGCUAAAACUCAAAGGAAUUGACGGGGGCCCGCACAAGCGGCGGAGCAUGCGGAUUAAUUCGAUGCAACGCGAAGAACCUUACCAAGGCUUGACAUACACCAGACCGUUCUGGAAACAGUUCCUCCCCUUUGGGGUUGGUGUACAGGUGGUGCAUGGUUGUCGUCAGCUCGUGUCGUGAGAUGUUGGGUU
rnacentral:rRNA from 1 species